UACGGGGGGGGCAAGCGUUGUUCGGAAUUACUGGGCGUAAAGCGCGCGUAGGCGGACCUGCAAGUCGGGGGUGAAAGCCCGAGGCUUAACCUCGGAACUGCCUUCGAUACUGCGGGUCUCGAGUCCGGGAGAGGUGAGUGGAAUUCCUAGUGUAGAGGUGAAAUUCGUAGAUAUUCGCAAGAACACCAGUGGCGAAGGCGGCUCACUGGCCCGGUACUGACGCUGAGGUGCGAAAGCGUGGGGAGCAAACAGG
rnacentral:rRNA from 1 species